UACAGAGGGUGCGAGCGUUGUCCGGAAUCACUGGGCGUAAAGGGCGCGUAGGCGGCCUGAUAAGUAGGGGGUGAAAUCCUGCGGCUUAACCGCAGGGCUGCCUUCUAAACUGUCAGGCUAGAGCACAGUAGAGGCAGGUGGAAUUCCCGGUGUAGCGGUGGAAUGCGUAGAGAUCGGGAAGAACAUCAGUGGCGAAGGCGGCCUGCUGGGCUGUUGCUGACGCUGAGGCGCGACAGCGUGGGGAGCGAACAGG
rnacentral:rRNA from 1 species